AGGUUUCGGCGUGCUAAUACAUGCAGUCGAGCGAAUGGAUUAAGAGCUUGCUCUUAUGAAGUUAGCGGCGGACGGGUGAGUAACACGUGGGUAACCUGCCCAUAAGACUGGGAUAACUCCGGGAAACCGGGGCUAAUACCGGAUAACAUUUUGAACCGCAUGGUUCGAAAUUGAAAGGCGGCUUCGGCUGUCACUUAUGGAUGGACCCGCGUCGCAUUAGCUAGUUGGUGAGGUAACGGCUCACCAAGGCAACGAUGCGUAGCCGACCUGAGAGGGUGAUCGGCCACACUGGGACUGAGCCAGGACCAAAACUAAAAC
rnacentral:rRNA from 1 species